AUCAGUACCAGAAAACUCUUCAUGAGAGAAGAAAAUAGAAAGAUAAAUCAUGUUCUUUGGCAUCUCAAUGAACAGCCUAAUGAGACUGAAUGAACCCAGAUCUGAGCACCAAACACAGCCCUUCAGUGCACAUGUACCUGCACAAGCAAACCAAAUGCAGAGAGCUUCUGGGAGAAAUCACACAACAUUUACAAACCAUGGCUUUCUCAAAUGCUCCAUCAUUUAGUAUUGACUUUCAGACGUGAAAAAAAGAUCAGAUGGCAGGACUGGCCUGCUAAUGUUGUAAUAAUUUAUACCUGAAUUGCCAACAUGAAAUGUGGAUAUAAAAAACUGCAUGUGAUAAUGGCUUAAGUAUGGCUUUUUUUUUUUUUUUUUUUUUUUUUUUUUAAUUAAAUACCUUAGUAAUUUUAAUAGGAAUGUAAAAUGUUUUUAAUGCAGUAUAGGAAGUUAACGUCCCUGUUUGCAAUAAGUUUUAAUCCUUCCUAGGACACAAACUACAUCAGGGAUCUUUACAACUGGUAUUUGUGCCACCUGACUUUAGCCAUCUGAAGGGAAUGUAGCUGAAACUUUGAAGCUUAGCCUUCCAAAAGCCAGACAUUGUAAUUCCCUCCACAGCCACAGAAAUAGAGAUAAACACUUCAGGAAUUGAGAAAACCUGUGCCCAAGUCUAAAUUGGUUGGGCCUCAUUCUGGAGACACCAUGGACAGAUGGCCAGCCCAGACCAGCAGCCCAGAGCAGAUGCCAAUGGUCAAACAGCUUGAGCUGGAAGACCCCAGUCCAAUUCCCAGUGCAGCUUUUGAUCAGGUUAAAACUUUGGUGCUUGGCCACUACUAACGUGAUUCUGCCUAAAACCAAGACUCGAGCCCUGACCUUCAUUGUACCCAAUUCUUUAGAUGUUACGGGCAUGGAUAGAUUCACCUUUGCCCUCCACACCUUAAUCUAAACCCAUGGAAAAGUUCAGCUUGGAACUUCAGGCAUGUCUUCAAUAACAACCUGAUGGAAAUUCCAGCUUCUCAUCUCUCUGCUCUCCUUACUCAGCCUGGACAUUUUCUAGGACCUAAACUGCAUCAUGGAAGCGUGCUAAAAAUUAAAGCAAACCUGAAUGCCUGAAUCAUGAUCCAGAGAAAAUCCAUCUUUGUGUUCAGAAAGCUCUUUUCCAAUAGAUCAAGUGCUGUAAACACACAGGAAUGCAUGUGUGCAAUUUAGUGAGGAGUUUUUAAAGGUAGCUGAAGGUCAGGCAUUUUGGGAAACAUGCUAGGCAAUGCUAUACGUGUCUGCUGGCAAUGGAGAUGUUCAGGGGCUGGCUGAAAUGUGUGUGGCAGACGGCUGUCCCUGCACACACGCCUUCUGUUCCCAGGCCCCCCAGCCACUGAUUUCAGAUCAAACGUGAAACCUGAAAGCCUGGUUAGCAUCUCCAGGGAACAAAGUCAGGCAUUUAAUUAAAGGAUGCCAAGCCUGGUUCAAAAGGACUCGGUGUGUUCAGAGACACAGCACCCAGCAGACCUUCUGGAGGCUGCCCAAGAAGGCACAGCUGUGCACACUGAGAGCUCAGAGCCCACGGCAGCUGGGCCAGGCAUGCAGUAAUACUGAGCAAGGCAUCUGUAUCUGUGUGUAAGAGCUCUGCAAAUAGCUAAUAUGCUCUGGGGAUUUUUCACGAUGGCUUGUUUUUGGUGCACAAAUGCCUACACACUGCUCACAUGUUGUGCAGGAGGAGCUUUUUAUUUUCCUCCUUCAGUGGCAUCACGGGGCUGUUGAGAGAGUGGUUUUGUAAUGACACUUGGGCUGAGCUUGCUUUCAUAUAUAUCAUGUAGGGAAAUGUCUCAUGCUGCAAACAUGCAUCUGUCCCGGCUGUCAUUUGUGUGCCACAGCAGCACAAUUUGCUCGGAGUUGUUCCCAGCAGAGGGUCUUAAAAGCACUACAGUUUAGCAACCGCUAUGCAGUGAUGUGAUGGCAGUUGCAACAUCAUCACUAUUGCUGAAAACACAACAGUAACACUUCCAGAGUCCCCAAGGAAGAGCUGUACUAUUAGGGUUUAUGCACAUGCACACAU